GGCCUCGUAGCUUAAUUGGAUAGAGCAUCUGACUACGGAUCAGAAGGUUAUGGGUUCGAGUCCCCUCGAGGUCUCAUUUUAUUUUAUCCU
rnacentral:tRNA from 1 species